rnacentral:rRNA from 1 species
AUUGAACGCUGGCGGCAUGCCUUACACAUGCAAGUCGAACGGCAGCACGGGGCAACCUGGUGGCGAGUGGCGAACGGGUGAGUAAUGCAUCGGAACGUACCUUUCAGUGGGGGAUAACGUAGCGAAAGUUACGCUAAUACCGCAUAUUCUGUGAGCAGGAAAGCAGGGGAUCGCAAGACCUUGCGCUGAUUGAGCGGCUGAUGUGAGAUGAGCUAGUUGGUGAGGUAAAGGCUCACCAAGGCGACGAUCUGUAGCGGGUCUGAGAGGAUGAUCCGCCACACUGGAACUGAGACACGGUCCAGACUCCUACGGGAGGCAGCAGUGGGGAAUUUUGGACAAUGGGGGCAACCCUGAUCCAGCCAUGCCGCGUGAGUGAAGAAGGCCUUCGGGUUGUAAAGCUCUUUCGGCCGGGAAGAAAUCGCGCGGGCUAAUACCCUGUGUGGAUGACGGUACCGGAAUAAGAAGCACCGGCUAACUACGUGCCAGCAGCCGCAGUAACAC